UCUCCAGCUCCUAACCACGAGUGAUCCGCCAGCCUCGGCCUACGGAGGUGCUGGGAUUGCAGACGGAGCCUCGUUCACUCAGUGCUCAAUGGUGCCCAGGCUGGAGUGCAGUGGCGUGAUCUCGGCUCGCUACAACAUCCACCUCCCAGCCGCCUGCCUUGGCCUCCCAAAGUGCCGAGAUUGCAGCCUCUGCCCGCCCGCCACCCGGUCUGGGAAGUGAGGAGCGUCUCUGCCUGGCCGCCCAUCGUCUGGGAUGUGAGGAGCCCAUCUGCCUGGCUGCCCAGUCUGGAAAGUGAGGAGCGUCUCUGCCCGGCCGCCAUCCCAUCUAGGAAGUGAGGAGCGCCUCUUCCCGGCCGCCAUCACAUCUAGGAAGUGAGGAGCGUCUCUGCCCGGCCGCCCAUCGUCUGAGAUGUGGGGAGCGCCUCUGCCCCACCGCCCCGUCUGGGAUGUGAGGAGCGCCUCUGCCCGGCCGCCCCGUCUGAGAAGUGAGGAGACCCUCUGCCUGGCAACCGCCCCGUCUGAGAAGUGAGGAGCCUCUCCGCCCGGCAGCCACCCGGUCUGGGAAGUGAGGAGCGUCUCCGCCCGGCAGCCACCCCGUCCGGGAGGGAGGUGGGGGGUCAGCCCCCGCCCGGCCAGCCGCCCCGUCCGAGAGGGAGGUGGGGGGCGCCUCUGCCCGGCCGCCCCUUCUGGGAAGUGAGGAGCCCCUCUGCCAGGCCACCACCCUGUCUGGGAGGUGUACCCAGCAGCUCAUUGAGAACGGGCCAUGAUGACAAUGGCGGUUUUGUGGAAUGGAAAGGGGGGAAAGGUGGGGAAAAGAUUGAGAAAUCGGAUGGUUGCCGUGUCUGUGUAGAAGGAAGUAGACAUGGGAGACUUUUCAUUUUGUUCUGUACUAAGAGAAAUUCUUCUGCCUUGGGAUCCUGUUGAUCUGUGACCUUACCCCCAACCCUGUGCUCUCUGAAACAUGUGCUGUGUCCACUCAGGGUUAAAUGGAUUAAGGGCGGUGCAAGAUGUGCUUUGUUAAACAGAUGCUUGAAGGCAGCAUGCUCUUUAAGAGUCAUCACCACUCCCUAAUCUCAAGUACCCAGGGACACAAACACUGCGGAAGGCCGCAGGGUCCUCUGCCUAGGAAAACCAGAGACCUUUGUUCACUUGUUUAUCUGCUGACCUUCCCUCCACUAUUGUCCUAUGACCCUGCCAAAUCCCCCUCUGGGAGAAACACCCAAGAAUGAUCAAUAAAAAAAUAAAUAAAUAAAUAAAAUAAAAUAAAAUAAAAAGAGAAACUACCUUUGCAAAAAUUAUAACAGUAAGAAAAUCAUGGCAGUAAAAGAGAUCUGAUCUAAUCCACACCCAUCUUGCCUUUCCCUUAAUUAUUCCUGGGCUUUGGGGCUGAGCUAACUUUGAGAGACAUUUAGUUUAUACUUUAAAUGAUAAUAGGCCUUCCCCAAAACUCAACUGUCUUUGUUAAGCCAAUGAAAGGUCAUCAGGCUGUGGGAGGAGAGGAAUCUGAAUUCUGCUAAGGUGAAGAAAUUGUUUAAUUGCCAGCCACUCCUGCAGGUAACACCACUAUUGUAGAUUGGCCUUUUGAGUAUCUUUUCAGUUUUUGGAAGUCUGAAACCAAUGGCUCCACCCGUACCUGGCUCUGCCUCUACCCACCGACAUUGCUCCUGUGGUCCCACUCAGAAGUAGUUCAGCACUCAGGACAGCUUCCACCCCCUAUGAUUUCAUCUCUGUCCCAACCAAUCAGCAGCAAGCCUAGCCACCGCAGCCCUUCCUCGAAAGUGCCUUUGGAAAACUCCUAAACUACCAGCUUUGGAUGAGAUUUAUUUGAGUCCUAAUUCUGUCUGUCACAUUGUGUGACCGGCCUCAUGUCUAUUGUACUCUUUCGUUACUGCAAUGCUGUGGUCUUUGUUUAUGCAGCAGGCAGGAAGAAUCCAUUGGGUGGUUACAUCAUUAACCCUUACAUUUUUAUGUUCUAGUUUCAGAAAAUUCUCUUCUCUACCCCCGGACCAUAUUGGGGGAACCCACCCUCAAUAUUUCAACAUAGGUUCUUUCUAUUUUCCAUAAGUGUAGGCCGGCUGAGAAAUAAAGAGAGACAGUACAAAGAGAGGAAUUUUACAGCUAGGCUGCUGGAGGUGACAUCACAUAUCAGUAGGACCGUGAUGCCUGCCUAAGUCUCAGACCAGCAAGUUUUUAUUAAGGGUUUCAAAAGGGGAGGGGGUGUAAGAACAGGGAGUAGGUACAAAGAUCACAUGCUUCAAAGGGCAAAAAGCAGAACCACUAAUAAGGGUCUAACAAAGAUCACGUGCUUCUGAGGGAACAGCUAGAAUUACCAUAUGAUCCAGAAAUUUCACUUCUGGGCGUACACCCCAAAGAAUUGACAGCAGGGACUAGAACAGCCUGUGAAUACCUAUGUUCGUAGCAGCCUUAUUCACAAUAGCCAAAAAGGGGAAACAACUCAAAUGUCUGUUGACAGAUCAAUGGAUAAACAAAAUGGGAAUAUACAUACAAUGGAAUAUUAUUCUGCCUGAAAAAGGAAGACAAUUCUUUUUUUUUCUUUUUUUUCUUUUUUUUUUUUUUUGAGAUGGAGUCUUGCUCAGUUGCCCAGGCUGGAGUGCAGUGGCGCAAUCUCGGCUCACUGCAAGCUCCACCUCCCAGGUUCACGCCAUUCUCCUGCUUCAGCCUCCCGAGUAGCUGGGACUACAGGCGCCCGCCACCAUGUCCGGCUAAUUUUUUUUUGUAUUUUUAAUAGAGAUGGGGUUUCACCGUGUUAGCCAGGAUGGUCUUGAUCUCCUGACCUCGUGAUCCGCCCGCCGCAGCCUCCCAAAGUGCUGGGAUUACAGGCGUGAGCCACUGUGCCUGGCCAAAAGGAAGACAAUUCUAACAUAUGCUACAACAUGAAGGAACUUUGAAAACAUUAUGGUCAGUAAAUUAAAUAAGCUACAAGACACAAGAGGACAAAUAUGACACAAGAGAAUAAAUAUUGUAUGAUUCUACUUAUAUGUGUUACCCAAAGUAGUCAAUUGCAUAGAGAUAGAAACAGAAAAUAGAAUGGUGGUUGCAGGGUCUGGAAAGAGAGGAGGAGUGCAGAGUUAUUAUUAUUAUCAUCAUUAUUUUCAGACGGAGUUUCAGUCUUGUUGCCCAGGCUGGAGUGCAGUGGCGCCAUUUCGGCUCACUGCAACCUUUGCCUCCCGAGUUCAAGUGAUUCUCCUGCCUCAGCCUCCUGAGUAGCUGGGAUUACAGGCGCCCACCACCAUGCCCAGCUAAGUUUUGUAUUUUUAGUAGAGACAGGGUUUCAUUAUGUUGGCCAGGCUGGUCUCAAACUCCUGACCUCAGGUGAUCCACCUGCCUCGGCCUCCCAAAGUGCUGGGAUUACAGGCGUGAGCCACUGUGCCUGGCCCAGAGUUAUUGUUUUAUGGGUAGAGAGUUUCAGUUUUGCAAGAUGAAAGGAAUUCUAUAGACGGGUGGUGGUGAAGAUUGUACUUAAUGCCGCUGAACUGUACUCCUAAAAAGGGUUAAAAUAGUAACUUUUAUGUCAUGUGUAUUUUACUACAAAAAAAAAAAAAAAAAGAGAGAGAGAGAGAGACUGGGCACAGCGGCUCAUGCCUGUAAUCUCAACACUUUGGAAGGCUAAGGUGGGAGGAUCACUUAAGCCCAGGAAUUCAAGACCACCAGCCUGGAUGAUAUAGUGAGACCUUGUCUCUAAAAAAAAAUUAAAUUAAAAAAAAAGUGAUGGGAUACUUCUGAGAUUAGGUUGCAGAAAGACGAUGACUUCUACCUUGCAAGCUCUCAUCCUCCCUAACUUACCCUGAGGGAAAACAGUUGCCAUAAUGUAAGCUGCCCCGUGGAGAGGUCCACAAGGCAAGGAAAUGAUGCCUCAAGUCAACAGCCAUGCGGUGAGUUUGGAAGUGGAUUCUUCUCAAGCCAAGCCUUGAAAUGACUGCAGUCUGUGAUGACACCUUCAUUGCAAUCUUGUGAAAGACUCUGAACCAACUCUCAAUCUUGAGAGAGCCUCGUCUUCUGGACGAGCUAAGCUGCACCCAGAUUUCUGACCUACAGAAACCGUGAGUAAAACGUGUGUUGUUUCAAGCUGCUAAAUUUUGGAAUAAUUUGUUAUGCAUCAAUAAAUAACAAAUACAGCUGUUACACUUUCUAUAAAAGUGUGUUAUUGAAUAUACUUUUAUAUAAUACUAUAAAACUUUUUUUAAUUUGGCAAUCUAUUUUGACACUUACCUUUAACAAAACAUAACUUUUCUUUUUCUUUCUUUCUUUUUUUUUUUCUUGAGAUAGGGCCUUUCUCUGUCGCCCAGGCUAGAGUGCAGUGGUAAAACCAUGGCUCACUAC
rnacentral:lncRNA from 1 species